CUCGUAGGCGGCCGACUAAGUCGGACGUGAGAUCCCCCGGCUUAACUGGGGAACUGCGUCCGGGACUGGUCGGCUUGAGUUCGGGAGAGGGACGUGGAAUUCCAGGUGUAGCGGUGAAAUGCGUAGAUAUCUGGAGGAACACCGGUGGCGAAGGCGGCGUCCUGGACCGACACUGACGCUGAGGAGCGAAAGCCAGGGGAGCAAACGGGAUUAGAUACCCCGGUAGUCCUGGCCCUAAACGAUGAAUGCUUGGUGUGGCGGGUAUCGAUCCCCGCUGUGCCGGAGCUAACGCAUUAAGCAUUCCGCCUGGGGAGUACGGUCGCAAGGCUGAA
rnacentral:rRNA from 1 species